GGUCCCAGAUUAGCUACCCUGUAUCUGAAUGGGGUCCCUGCCUAUUCCAGACAGGGCAGGCUGAGGGUUCCGCUGUCAGUAUCAGCACCCGUCCUGUCCAGGGGAGUGGCUGUUUUGGUUUAGUUGCCCUGUGUGUCAUGUGUCUGAGAGUCAGCAGGGUGGCACCUCUGGAGAUGCUGCUUAAAACUGCCACCCAGCUCAAGGCCAGUUCUUCUCAUGGGGCAGAGUUAGAGGCUGAUGACUACAGUAAGUGGCACCAAGAUAAAGGGACAGUCUGAACGCGACCAUCCUGACCCCUUUAAGGUGAAGAAAUGCAGGAAUCAGAGCUGGGAGGGCCUGGCCAACGAGGGGCACCCAGGCAGUCCUCAAAGGCCAGGCUCCCGGGAGAAGCUAGCAGCGAUCCUAUUUCAGUGAAGUGCGAUUCUCUUUUCAGCAGGUAAUUUGGAGAAACAGAAAACUAUAAACAGAAGGAAAAAAAUGAGAUAAUCACUGUUAAAGCUUCCCUUUAUGCUCUCUUUUUGGAUAAAUAAAUCUAUAGAAUUAUUCCAUCUAAAGAUGGGUGCCCUCAGGAUGUGGACGUCCAAAUGAUGGGCCCAACUCUAUGCAAGCGCCACAGCAGAGCCACAAAUCCCCCACUGGUCCAUGGAUGACCAGCCUGCCUUGCCAGCAUUCCCGUGCAGAGGUUGGAAUGAGAAAAGACUGGGGUGUUAUCAUCACCCUUCACACAUCAAGUGACUAGCCCAGGAUCUUCCAUACAAGGACUGCAUAUGCAACCAUUUCUCCUGACUUCAAUCUGUCACGGAAGGGGGUUGCUGAAUACCUACUGUGGGUAGAUCCUUUUCUCUGAGGGCAACUGGCGGUGACCUGUUGUGAACUGGAGAUGGGCCCUUGCCACCCGCCUCUACAAGGAUUGAAUCAUGAGCCACUGCAGCUGCUGAUCCUCAACACCCCUGAAAGGAGCUUAGGAUGGAGAUCAGGAGUGAAGCCCUCUAUGCUCUGGGAAAACUGGCUGAACAGGUCUUCAGAUAGCUAAAUAU